rnacentral:lncRNA from 1 species
AUGUAUCUAUGAGAUGGUUACAUGUGCGAUUAUUAUUAAACUGCAACAUGGAGUUCGCGAGGUUAACUUGCUCAAUAAUUUAAUUUAGAGUAUAUUCCAGAUUUUCUAUUCAAGAAGUUCAUCUGACAAAGUUUGGUUUACAUCACAGUUGGUUUAGCAAAAUGAUUUAUUUGAAUGCCUCCACUUAAUAGCUAAACAAUUGCUUAUGAGAAUAAAGUUUUGUAUAUCAGUUUGAUAUACGUUAUAUACGAAAGUAUAUCAUUUUCUCCCCUCACAAGUGGUUCAUGGUCAGGAACCAAAUAAUUCCAUCUUAUUAUUAUUGAUGUACGGCGUAUAUUUUGAUUAACACCGUAACGCACAAAGAUG